CCCUUAGAUGUCCUGGGCCGCACGCGCGCUACACUGAUGCAUGCAACGAGUUUAUAACCUUGGCCUGAAAGGUCUGGGUAAUCUUUUGAACGUGCAUCGUGAUAGGGAUAGAUUAUUGCAAUUGUUAAUCUUGAACGAGGAAUUCCUAGUAAACGCGAGUCAUCAGCUCGCAUUGAUUACGUCCCUGCCCUUUGUACACACCGCCCGUCGCACCUACCGAUUGAAUGGUUCGGUGAAGAUCUCGGACUUCGAUAUUUAUUCUUUAUUGAGUUUAUAUUGUGGGAAGUUAUCUAAACCUCAUCAUUUAGAGGAAGGCGAAGUCGUAACA
rnacentral:rRNA from 1 species